rnacentral:lncRNA from 1 species
GGGGCCAGAAAGAAAGAUGUUGAGAAUUAUAAAGGUACAAUUGAUAAAGAGUCACCUACUUUUGAACUCAUGAAUACUUAUUGUGCUAUCCACAAGGUGUUUAUGAGGAAUAGAGAUCUCAACCUCGCUAAGAAACACUAGUAUGUUUCUCAAUUUUUAUAUUUGAGGGGUAUGAAGUUUGAUAAAAUAGUGAGAGACACAAUUAGAUAAAAAUCCUUAUCUAGUUGUACAUAUC